rnacentral:rRNA from 1 species
CCUACGGGAGGCUGCAGUGGGGGAUAUUGGACAAUGGGGGGAACCCUGAUCCAGCGACGCCGCGUGAGUGAAGAAGUAUUUCGGUAUGUAAAGCUCUGUCAGCAGGGAAGAAAGCAAUGACGGUACCUGACCAAGAAGCCCCGGCUAACUACGUGCCAGCAGCCGCGGUAAUACGUAGGGGGCAAGCGUUAUCCGGAUUUACUGGGUGUAAAGGGAGCGUAGACGGCAGCGCAAGUCUGGAGUGAAAUGCCGGGGCCCAACCCCGGAACUGCUCUGGAAACUGUGAAGCUGGAGUGCAGGAGAGGUAAGCGGAAUUCCUGGUGUAGCGGUGAAAUGCGUAGAUAUCAGGAGGAACACCGGCGGCGAAGGCGGCUUACUGGACUGUAACUGACGUUGAGGCUCGAAGGCGUGGGGAGCAAACAGGAUUAGAUACCCCUGUAGUC